GAUGAAGAACGCAGCGAAAUGCGAUAAGUAAUGUGAAUUGCAGAAUUCAGUGAAUCAUCGAAUCUUUGAACGCGCAUUGCGGCCCCUGGUAUUCCGGGGGGCAUGCCUGUCCGAGCGUCAUUACAACCCUCAAGCUCAGCUUGGUAUUGGGCCCCGCCGCUCCGGCGGGCCCUAAAGUCAGUGGCGGUGCCGUCCGGCUCCGAGCGUAGUAAUUCUUCUCGCUCUGGAGGUCCGGUCGUGUGCUCGCCAGCAACCCCCAAUUUUUUUCAGGUUGACCUCGGAUCAGGUAGGGAUACCCGCUGAACUUAAGCAUAUCAAUAAGCGGAGGA
rnacentral:misc_RNA from 1 species